CUGGCCCUUCGUCGUAAUAACGUUUCUUUAGGAGAUGCGGUGAAAUGAAAAGGAAGUUUGUGUUAUAGCGAGUCGAGUCCCCCGGGUUGGUCGGGUGUCCCCCAGGUUGGUCGGGUGUCCCCCGGGUUUGUCGGGUGUCCCCCAGGUUGGUCGGGUGUCCCCGGGGUUUGACGGGUGUCCCCCAGGUUUGGUCUGGUGUCCCCCGGGUUGGUUGGGUGUCCCCCAGGUUGGUCGGGUGUCCCCCGGGUUGGUUGGGUGUCCCCCGGGUUGGUCGGUGUCCCCCGGGUUGGUUGGUGUCCCCCGGGUUGAUCGGUGUCCCCCGGGUUGGUUGGUGUCCCCCGGCGUCAUGCUUCUAUCUGAAUGAGACACUCACAUGUAUGUAUUCAUAUAACCCGUGUAGUGGGUGUGAACACGCUCUGUAGGUCACAUGCUGUUUACAUUGUAGAGCCGGGGGGGGGGGUCUCUCUUCCUGCGCCGACACCGCGGAAGCCCCUGCCGGGUCGUUCAGCGUGACCUGUGGAGUAUGUGAUGUAUACAUGUUCGUAUACAUGUAUGUUGUAUGUAAUAAGGUUCCUACACUCUAAUCAACUCAAAUCAGCUGAAUCCAUCAUGGAGACGACAGUUACAACAAGACGAAAGCUAAUCGUCUGUUUAUUUGGUCUCUUCCUUUAGAUGAAAAUGUCUGAUCAGAGUGACGACCCCGAGUGUCCCUCCGACGACACGACGGCGUCACGUGACGAACAACCAGCCGGAUCGGCUUUGUUGUGUCACAGAGGGGAAG
ensembl:lncRNA